UUUUCACACUUGAAAUACUCGGAUACCCUUAAUUCUAUCCAUUCAAUUACAUUAUUUUCAAGAAUCUCUUUAAAAUCUUGCCUACACAGCUUCGGGGCGUCGAAUUCUGAGGCAAGCCCCACGUCGUGUGGGGGCGAAGAAAACGAGAACUCGUAUGUAGAAAAACGCCAUAAUACUUUCUUUUUUUCUCCGUAUUGUGUUUAUUUGAGAUCUGUGUUUCCAUAAAUUAUAUGUUGAACUUAAUAUGUUAAUAAGUGCGCAUUUAUGACCUAAACAUAGAUAUGGUUCGCCAUGUGUGUCGGAGGAGUCGAUUCGGAUUUGGAUAGGAAGGCUUCAUUACACAACGAAACACUAACAAAUGCAAGUAGUUUUAGUGCGCAAGAUAUGAAUUUGCCUUAAACAGAAAAAGAAAACGAUUUUCCAACUUUACCUGGAUAUUCUAAGACUCAUAAUCAGUCAAGAUUUAAUAACUUAAGGGGUGGGGGGAUGGGGGAUAGGGCUAAAGGGUUAGGGUCUAAAGGGGUUACUAUCUGUUUGACACGGGAAGACGGGGAGACCAGGAAAUUUCAAUGUGAGCACUGAGCAUGCUCGGAUGUAAUGAGAUACAGUUUAAAAGACUACUUUUUAAAUGUUUACUGCAGAGCCUAAGUUCAUUAUUAUGAUAUUUUCACAUUGCCGCUUCCAUUUAUUUCUUUUGUGGGGAAAGACUUUUUACUCUUAGCACAUUUGCACGCUCGCAAUCGUAGAGUCGAUUUCGUGUAUCGAAACAGUAAAAGUUCUUAGUAAAAGUUCUUACAUUACCUAAUCGUUUUAGUGUCGCAAAUUCUGUAUUGAUUUUCAUCCAUUUACAAACGUUCUUCUUAGAUCGACUAUCUAGGCUUUUGAAGUGAUUUAAGCUUAAAACAAGGGGUUAUUAUAAUAAUUCAUUAAAUUUACUUCAGUAUAUUACUGUUAUAAUACUCGAAAGCAACUGUACUAUUUAUUGCAAGUGAACAAACUCUUACUAAGGGUAGAUAAUGUUUCUUCUUGAAGUUGUAUAGUUUUAAGCAAUCGUAGUCGAUUGAGUCCGUGCAGUCCCGGCUAAGAAUAAGACUGCUCCAGAUCUUUCCGUGGAUGUCGUAAAAGGCGACUAAGGAUUGAAUGUCGCAAGGUAGAUAAAUAGUAGGUAUAUCACUUGUUCAGUAUACCACUGAAAAAGUGAUAUACCUACUUUUAUCCAUUUUGCGAUAGUGAAAAGGUGAAUACAACUGUUGGCCUUUAAACCGUAUGGUGGCGGUUAUCCACCAAAGUAUCUCCGAAAGGGGGAAAAAAAGUCCACAAGUAAGGAACCUUUAAACUUAGAGAAGAAAACAUGUUACGUCAACCCCACGAAGGAAGUGUAGGAGGGCAAGGCAAAUAAUUCAAUUCUUCAUUUUGAUCUUUUAUGAUUUGGAAAUUAGGUUACCAUGGCGAACCUCAGAAUGCAGCAAAAUAAAAAAUAAGUAAUAGGUUCAUUAAUAUUAUUUUACAACGCAAACACAAAAUUAUAAAUAUAAGAACACACCAGAUUACAACCAAUUCAGGCACUUGACAUAAAUGCGCAGUUAUGAAAUAGUAGUAACUGGUUCUUGAAAUCAACAUAUUUUGUCGAUUUGGCUAUUCGGUGAAAUUGUCUUGCUGACCGAAAAAGAAUGUUAAACAUCUCAGAAAGCCUAGGGCUUUUUUGUCUUCUAUUAAAAGAUUAUGGUAAGACGUUUUCACACUUGAAAUACUCGGAUACCCUUAAUUCUAUCCAUUCAAUUACAUUAUUUUCAAGAAUCUCUUUAAAAUCUUGCCUACACAGCUUCGGGGCGUCGAAUUCUGAGGCAAGCCCCACGUCGUGUGGGGGCGAAGAAAACGAGAACUCGUAUGUAGAAAAACGCCAUAAUACUUUCUUUUUUUCUCCGUAUUGUGUUUAUUUGAGAUCUGUGUUUCCAUAAAUUAUAUGUUGAACUUAAUAUGUUAAUAAGUGCGCAUUUAUGACCUAAACAUAGAUAUGGUUCGCCAUGUGUGUCGGAGGAGUCGAUUCGGAUUUGGAUAGGAAGGCUUCAUUACACAACGAAACACUAACAAAUGCAAGUAGUUUUAGUGCGCAAGAUAUGAAUUUGCCUUAAACAGAAAAAGAAAACGAUUUUCCAACUUUACGUGGAUAUUCUAAGACUCAUAAUCAGUCAAGAUUUAAUAACUUAAGGGGUGGGGGGAUGGGGGAUAGGGCUAAAGGGUUAGGGUCUAAAGGGGUUACUAUCUGUUUGACACGGGAAGACGGGGAGACCAGGAAAUUUCAAUGUGAGCACUGAGCAUGCUCGGAUGUGAUGAGAUACAGUUUAAAAGACUACUUUUUAAAUGUUUACUGCAGAGCCUAAGUUCAUUAUUAUGAUAUUUUCACAUUGCCGCUUCCAUUUAUUUCUUUUGUGGGGAAAGACUUUUUACUCUUAGCACAUUUGCACGCUCGCAAUCGUAGAGUCGAUUUCGUGUAUCGAAACAGUAAAAGUUCUUAGUAAAAGUUCUUACAUUACCUAAUCGUUUUAGUGUCGCAAAUUCUGUAUUGAUUUUCAUCCAUUUACAAACGUUCUUCUUAGAUCGACUAUCUAGGCUUUUGAAGUGAUUUAAGCUUAAAACAAGGGGUUAUUAUAAUAAUUCAUUAAAUUUACUUAAGUAUAUUACUGUUAUAAUACUCGAAAGCAACUGUACUAUUUAUUGCAAGUGAACAAACUCUUACUAAGGGUAGAUAAUGUUACUUCUUGAAGUUGUAUAGUUUUAAGCAAUCGUAGUCGAUUGAGUCCGUGCAGUCCCGGCUAAGAAUAAGACUGCUCCAGAUCUUUCCGUGGAUGUCGUAAAAGGCGACUAAGGAUUGAAUGUCGCAAGGUAGAUAAAUAGUAGGUAUAUCACUUGUUCAGUAUACCACUGAAAAAGUGAUAUACCUACUUUUAUCCAUUUUGCGAUAGUGAAAAGGUGAAUACAACUGUUGGCCUUUGAACCGUAUGGUGGCGGUUAUCCACCAAAGUAUCUCCGAAAGGGGGAAAAAUAAUCCACAAGUAAGGUGCCUUUAAACUUAGAGAAGAAAACAUGUUACGUCAACCCCACGAAGGAAGUGUAGGAGGGCAAGGCAAAUAAUUCAAUUCUUCAUUUUGAUCUUUUAUGAUUUGGAAAUUAGGUUACCAUGGCGAACCUCAGAAUGCAGCAAAAUAAAAAAUAAGUAAUAGGUUCAUUAAUAUUAUUUUACUACGCAAACACAAAAUUAUAAAGAUAAGAACACACCAGAUUACAACCAAUUCAGGCACUUGACAUAAAUGCGCAGUUAUGAAAUAGUAGUAACUGGUUCUUGAAACCAACAUAUUUUGUCGAUUUGGCUAUUCGGUGAAAUUGUCUUGCUGACCGAAAAAGAAUGUUAAACAUCUCAGAAAGCCUAGGGCUUUUUUGUCUUCUAUUAAAAGAUUAUGGUAAGACGUUUUCACACUUGAAAUACUCGGAUACCCUUAAUUCUAUCCAUUCAAUUACAUUAUUUUCAAGAAUCUCUUUAAAAUCUUGCCUAUACAGCUUCGGGGCGUCGAAUUCUGAGGCAAGCCCCGCGUCGUGUGGGGGCGAAGAAAACGAGAACUCUUAUGUAGAAAAACGCCAUAAUACUUUCUUUUUUUCUCCGUAUUGUGUUUAUUUGAGAUCUGUGUUUCCAUAAAUUAUAUGUUGAACUUAAAAUGUUAAUAAGUGCGCAUUUAUGACCUCAAUAUAGAUAAUAUGGUUCGCCAUGUGUAUCGGAGAAGUCGAUUCAGAUUCGGAUAGGAAGGUUUCAUUACACAACGAAACUCUAACAUAUGCCAGUUGUUUUAGUGCGCAAGAUAUGAAUUUGCCUUAAACAGAAAAGAAAACGAUUUUCCAACUUAACGUGGAUAUUCUAAGACUCAUAAUCAGUCAAGAUUUAAUAACUUAAGGGGUGGGGGGGAUGGAGAUAGGGCUAAUGGGUUAGGGUCUAAAGGGGUUACCAUCUGUUUGACACGGGAGGACGGGGAGACCAGGAAAUUUCAAUGUGAGCACUGAGCAUGCUCGGAUGUAAUGAGUUACAGUUUCAAAGACUACUUUUUAAAUGUUUACUGCAGAGCCUUAGUUCAUUAUUAUGAUAUUUUCACAUUGCCGCUUCCAUUUAUUUCUUUUGUGGGGAAAGACUUUUUACCCUUAACACAUUUGCACGCUCGCAAUCGUAGGGUCGAUUUCUUGUAUCGAAACAGUAAAAGUUCUUAGUAAAAGUUCUUACAUUACCUAAUCGUUUUAGUGUCGCAAAUUCUGUAUUGAUUUUCAUCCAUUUACAAACGUUCUUCUUAGAUCUACUAUCUAGGCUGUUGAAGUGAUUUAAGCUUAAAACAAGGGGUUAUGAUAAUAAUUCAUUAAAUUUAUUCAAAAAAUUCAAAAUUCAUUUAUUUCAAGUAGGCCUAAUACAA